rnacentral:lncRNA from 1 species
AGACUAGGCAGGUGAGCCGAAGGGCGGGGAAGCUAAUUAACGCUCGCCGGCACCACGGGCCCAGAGAAGAGCUGAUGGCGGCCGAGGACUCUCAUGGGGGCCUCUGCCUGGGGCUCGGAAGAGGCAGAAGUUAGGGAUCAGGAGGUGCGCCACCCCCCCUUGUGGUCUGCGAGCGCCAAGGAGGUGGCGACAAAGUGGUGGGGCUGUGCAGGAGAGACAGAAUCAAUACAAUUAUGGACUUCGGGAACAACCUGACCAGUGAGGAAUCGGGGCCGGGGCCGCCGUGCGUGGCAGGAAUUGAAGUGGAUUCCGGCAGCAAUGCUAUCAGCGAGCAGACGGCGUCUACACCGGGAAGGGAGCCCUCACCAGAAGCCACGUCCUGCAGCAGAAGCAGGACCGUCCCAGAGUGAGCGUGGCGCCUGCCAGGGCCUACGAGGGGCCUCUGCACCCCCUGACGUCCACAGUGCGGGCAGCGGGCAGCGGGCGGUGGACAUGAUUUCAGCCUCCGGUCUGAGUCCAUCAGGGUCCACGCGGGAGGCAGGAGGAUUUGAGCCCAGGGGCUGUCGUCUGGACAGGAAGUGGUCUUGUCGAGAACUCAGAGCAAGUCUGCGGUUUUGAGGCAUGGCCGGGUUGGAGGAGCAAAGGGGGCAGGUGGUACAUUCUGACCUUGGAGCCUCCCAGGGGUCAGCGCUGGGCUGCAGCUGGGGUCUUUGGGGGCUGGGGACAGCCAUCACUGCUUCCUACAAGGAUUUGAAAAAAACAGAUCCCACUGUUGUCUGAGGGAGGGGCCUCGUCCCUCCAGCGCCCCCUACUGGCAGUGCCCCCCUGGAUACCAAGUGGAGAUGGGCCUGGAGGGAGCCCCGUGGACUGCACCCUGGAAACAGUGUGAGCUGCCCUGGGGAGUGGGCGGGGGGUGAUCAGGCCGGAAUGCGGGCGGGGGCCUGGGAGCAAUGCUGGCAGCACCGGCCACACACCCAGUAUGAGCCGGAGAGUAGGCUUUGCGGCUGCCACCAUGACAUUGUGUCAGCCCCUCUAAGGGCAGCUUAAGGAGGACAAGGCCUUGCCUCUGCCUGCUCCAGGGUGGGGCGGCCAUGGAGCUGUGUUUGGGAGGCGUGAUGGGAUUCCUGAAAGGUGGGAAACAGGACACUCGAGAGAGGAGGCUGGGACAGCCAGGGAGCGCCGUGGCGAGGUUACGCGUUCCGUGACGCGGGCUUGCGGUGGACAGGCGUCCAGUCCCUCUGCCUCUCGUGGGCAUGGAUUAGGCUGCAGGCGCUCUCUUAGCAGACCCCUCCCAAGGAGAACUGAAGAGCCCCCCUCUUGGUCCCUCCUGGGCUGUAACAACACCUGGCAGCCAUCUUUUCCCAUGACAAAGGCAGCUGCAGAGACAGAGUGCUUUGUCCACUUGGAAAGUAUCUCAGCAACUGACUCUCAACGGCUGCCGUCCACUGCUCCCCUCUCGCAAGAGGGCCCGGC